GACGAACGUUUGCGGCGUGCUUAACACAUGCAAGUCGAACGGAAAGGCCCUGCUUUUGUGGGGUGCUCGAGUGGCGAACGGGUGAGUAACACGUGAGUAACCUGCCCUUGACUUUGGGAUAACUUCAGGAAACUGGGGCUAAUACCGGAUAGGAGCUCCUGCUGCAUGGUGGGGGUUGGAAAGUUUCGGCGGUUGGGGAUGGACUCGCGGCUUAUCAGCUUGUUGGUGGGGUAGUGGCUUACCAAGGCUUUGACGGGUAGCCGGCCUGAGAGGGUGACCGGCCACAUUGGGACUGAGAUACGGCCCAGACUCCUACGGGAGGCAGCAGUGGGGAAUAUUGCACAAUGGGCGGAAGCCUGAUGCAGCAACGCCGCGUGCGGGAUGACGGCCUUCGGGUUGUAAACCGCUUUCGCCUGUGACGAAGCGUGAGUGACGGUAAUGGGUAAAGAAGCACCGGCUAACUACGUGCCAGCAGCCGCGGUGAUACGUAGGGUGCGAGCGUUGUCCGGAUUUAUUGGGCGUAAAGGGCUCGUAGGUGGUUGAUCGCGUCGGAAGUGUAAUCUUGGGGCUUAACCCUGAGCGUGCUUUCGAUACGGGUUGACUUGAGGAAGGUAGGGGGGAAUGGAAUUUCCUGGUGGAGCGGUGGAAUGCGCAGAUAUCAGGAGGAACACCAGUGGCGAAGGCGGUUCUCUGGGCCUUUCCUGACGCUGAGGAGCGAAAGCGUGGGGAGCGAACAGGCUUAGAUACCCUGGUAGUCCACGCUGUAAACGGUGGGUACUAGGUGUGGGGUCCAUUCCACGGGUUCCGUGCCGUAGCUAACGCUUUAAGUACCCCGCCUGGGGAGUACGGCCGCAAGGCUAAAACUCAAAGGAAUUGACGGGGCCCCGCACAAGCGGCGGAGCAUGCGGAUUAAUUCGAUGCAACGCGUAGAACCUUACCUGGGUUUGACAUGGAUCGGGAGUGCUCAGAGAUGGGUGUGCCUCUUUUGGGGUCGGUUCACAGGUGGUGCAUGCCUGUCGUCAGCUCGUGUCGUGAGAUGUUGGGUUAAGUCCCGCAACGAGCGCAACCCUUGUUCACUGUUGCCAGCACGUUAUGGUGGGGACUCAGUGGAGACCGCCGGGGUCAACUCGGAGGAAGGUGGGGAUGACGUCAAGUCCUCAUGCCCCUUAUGUCCAGGGCUUCACGCAUGCUACAAUGGCUGGUACAGAGAGUGGCGAGCCUGUGAGGGUGAGCGAAUCUCGGAAAGCCGGUCCCAGUUCGGAUUGGGGUCUGCAACUCGACCUCAUGAAGUCGGAGUCGCUAGUAAUCGCAGAUCAGCAACGCUGCGGUGAAUACGUUCCCGGG
rnacentral:rRNA from 1 species